rnacentral:RNase_P_RNA from 1 species
GAGGAAAGUCCGGGCUCCACAGGGCAAAGCGCUGGAUAACGUCCAGCAGGCGCGAGCCUCGGGAUAGUGCCACAGAAAGAUACCGCUCCAAUUUGGAGUAAGGGUGAAAAGGUGGAGUAAGAGCCCACCGGUAAUUGGGUGACCAAUGAGCCAGGCAAACCCCGCUUGGAGCAAGAUCUAAUAGGGAGGGAUGAGGUGGCCCGCUGACCUCCGGGUUGAUCGCUAGAGGAUGGGCGCGAGCUCAUCCCGAGAUAAAUGGUCAUCAAUAUCACAGAACCCGGCUUA